CCUACGGGGGCAGCAGUGGGGAAUAUUGGACAAUGGGCGAAAGCCUGAUCCAGCCAUGCCGCGUGUGUGAAGAAGGCCUUCGGGUUGUAAAGCACUUUCAGUGGGGAAGAAAGCCUUGGGGCUAAUACCCUCGAGGAAGGACAUCACCCACAGAGGAAGCACCGGCUAACUCCGUGCCAGCAGCCGCGGUAAUACGGAGGGUGCGAGCGUUAAUCGGAAUUACUGGGCGUAAAGCGCGCGUAGGCGGUCUGAUAAGCCGGUUGUGAAAGCCCCGGGCUCAACCUGGGAACGGCAUCCGGAACUGUCAGGCUAGAGUGCAGGAGAGGAAGGUAGAAUUCCCGGUGUAGCGGUGAAAUGCGUAGAGAUCGGGAGGAAUACCAGUGGCGAAGGCGGCCUUCUGGACUGACACUGACGCUGAGGUGCGAAAGCGUGGGUAGCAAACAGGAUUAGAUACCCUAGUAGUC
rnacentral:rRNA from 1 species